rnacentral:lncRNA from 1 species
GUGGGUGGGUGGGCGGGCUGCUGGCUGGAAUUUGCACUGCAACCAGCAUGACCACUGAACUCACAAAUCAAUCAGCAGCCCCUGUGUUAGCACUGUUUGAAACUUCAGACAUAAUACUGUACAGGCCAUGAAUCAAAUUGCAGCAAAGUUGAAUAGUUCGAAUUCAGCUCUCCAGUGUAGCUAUGACCACAGUUCUCUUCAGUACGCAAAAAAUAAACAAAUUGAAUCAGCAAAUAAAGAAGCAUUGAAUAUUGUUGUGGGUUUUUCGGGCUGUUUGGCCGUGUUCUGAAGGUUGUUCUUCCUAACGUUUCGCCAGUCUCUGUGGCCGGCAUCUUCAGAGGACAGCACUCUGCAACCAUUAGAUCCCGGCUAUGAAAGCCUUCGCGAAUACAAAGCAUUGAAGAACAUAGUCCUGCAUGGGAGUUGCGACAGCAACCACUCCAAGACAGAAAUGAUUUGUACCUUGGUGAAGGCAAACCCAAUUCUUGGAAGCCAUAAAGGAUAUGAAAAGUUGUUGUGGGUGUCUGCUUUCUGAACUCAUAGUAAGGAACUGGAGAGGAAGGGAACACACUGAGAAAAUGAGGAGCAAUGGUCAGCAGCUGAAGGAUUUAAUGCCCAGCAGUGUCACCUGUUACCUACCAGAACAUAGUGUAUUGCCUAAGACUGCUUCAAUCAGUCCAGCUUGCAACAGAGUUGAGUCAACAACUUACUCGAAGUUUUCUACAACAGAGGCCCUAGGUUACUUUUCAUUCCCCAAGGAGGAAUUGUUACUGUUUUGCGCCGUUUGAUGCAGCCACUUCCUUGUUCCUAAGGGCUUAAAACCAGAAGAGAUGUAUUUGCGUUACAAAAUGACUGUUUAAAUGUAACUUGCUUUUUGGUGAAGAGGUAAUUGCCUGAUUGGUGGAAUUAGUUGCUACCCUCCUUCCUCCUGUCCAAAGAUACUAUAAGAGCUGUAUGCCAACUUCUUCUCAGUGUGCACUUGUUAUCUAUAGUGAGUGCACCUCGAUGCGGAAUAAAUUGCUUCGGCUACCUCA